GUGCCGUCCUUCGUCAGGGACUACGUCAUCGUCACCUCGUGGCUGCGAGGAAGUACGGACCGCAUCGUCACCGACAUCGACUCCGGCGGCCGGUACUCGGUGUUCCCGUCCGGAGAGCUGCACAUCCGCCACGUGACCCCGGCCGACGGCGCGCUGCCCUACCGCUGCGAGACCAGACACCUGCUCACCGGGGAGACGCGGCUCAGUGCCGUUGCCGGCAGACUGUUGGUGACGUCACCGCAGAGCUCGGUGCCGCCGCGCAUCACGGACUCCCGCAGCCACGUGCAGGCGCGCUAC